rnacentral:lncRNA from 1 species
AUUGUGGAAGGCAGUAGAACUGCUCAUGUUUAUUGUGCUGGGAUUAAAAUCUGUUGUAGGAUAAAAUUGUAUAUAGACAAUAAACAAGGUUGUGAUAGGCUGCUGUGCCUUUGGGAUUUGUGGUAGUUUUCAUAUUUUUAUAUACCUGCUGAUGCCCAGGUAUGGACUUAAGGAUUCUUGAUAUCAAUCUUGCCCUUCUUUUGCGGGCAUGAGAGGGAACGAAAAAGACGCUGCUCACCUUAAGCUUAGCCUUAAAGUAAAGACUGGUUAUGUGAACACAAUUAUUUGAGAUCCAAACCCUUAGGCCAAUCGAAAGGGAACUAUAUAUUACACUAUACUGUAAUGUCCCUAUACUAUAGGGGGAGCCUGAGACAGACAAGUAACACAUGCAUAUAUGAUUGGUGUUUUAUACUAUUUCUGUAGAGCAUGUUUUGCUUAAUUUUGUAACUUUAUUGACCUGAAGUAGUUGUGUGUGUUUCUCAAAGGUAGAAGACUGGAUUCAGAAGAAGAGUUACUAAGGAAAUGGAGCUAAAACCGCCACUGACUUCCUCCCUGGGAAUCAUCUCUCCCCCCAGGGUUCUCUGUUCUCUCAAACGCUUGCAUCUGCAGCAAGAGAGCCACUCCGGGAAAGCCUGGGCGAGGGAAGGAGGAAGGAGAAGUCCAGGACCAGCAACGAGGCUCCCGAGGCUGCUCCCUGCCGCCAGCAACCCCAGUGCUGCAGCCUUGCACAGAAAAACGAGCAGGCCCUCGGGACUCGCGGUGGAGAAGUGUAUUGGUAAGGUUUUAGAUCCAGGACGUUUGAAGCUGAGCAGCAGGUAUUAUUCCUAG